GACAGAGGGUGCAAACGUUGUUCGGAAUUAUUGGGCGUAAAGAGCGUGUAGGCGGCCAGGUAGGUCAGCUGUGAAAACUCGAGGCUCAACCUCGAGAUGUCGGCUGAAACCAUCUGGCUAGAGUCCGGAAGAGGAGAAUGGAAUUCCUGGUGUAGCGGUGAAAUGCGCAGAUAUCAGGAAGAACACCCGUGGCUAAGGCGGUUCUCUAGUACGGUACUGACGCUGAGACGCGAAAGCGUGGGGAGCGAACAGG
rnacentral:rRNA from 1 species